rnacentral:rRNA from 1 species
AGAGUUUGAUCAUGGCUCAGGAUGAACGCUGGCGGCGUGCCUAAUACAUGCAAGUCGAACGAAGAUUGUAGCAAUACAUUCUUAGUGGCGAACGGGUGAGUAACGCGUUGGUGACCUGCCCCAAAGUGGGGGAUAACAACUCGAAAGGGUUGCUAAUACCCCAUGUGAUCCUUCGGUCUAGAUGCCGAUUGAUUAAAGGAUUUAUUCGCUUUGGGAGGGGCCUGCGUCCCAUCAGCUAGUUGGUAGGGUAAUGGCCUACCAAGGCUAUGACGGGUAGGGGGCCUGAGAGGGUGACCCCCCACACUGACACUGAAACACGGGUCAGACACCUACGGGUGGCAGCAGUAGGGAAUAUUGGUAAUCUGCGAAAGCGGGAACCAGCAACGCCGCGUGUGCGAUGAAGGCCUUCGGGUUGUAAAGCACUUUUUGAGGGGAUGAGGAAGGACAGUACCCUCAGAAUAAGCCUCGGCUAACUACGUGCCAGCAGCCGCGGUAACACGUAGGAGGCAAGCGUUAUUCGGAUUUACUGGGCGUAAAGCGCACGCAGGCGGUUCGAUAAGUUGGAUGUGAAAGCUCCCGGCUUAACUGGGAGAGGUCGUUCAAUACUAUCGGACUUGAGGAUGAGAGAGGGAGGUGGAAUUCCGGGUGUAGUGGUGGAAUGCGUAGAUAUUCGGAGGAACACCAGUGGCGAAAGCGGCCUCCUGGCUCAUAACUGACGCUCAUGUGCGAAAGCUAGGGUAGCAAACGGGAUUAGAGACCCCGGUAGUCCUAGCCGUAAACUAUGUAGACUUGGCGUUGGUGGGGUAAAAUCCAUCAGUGCCGAAGCAAACGCGAUAAGUCUACCGCCUGGGGACUACGAUCGCAAGAUUAAAACUUAAAGGAAUUGACGG